CUCUUCGAAAGUCUUCCAUUCUUCAAACUAGAUUAUUUAAAAAUGAAAAAGGAAGAAAGGAAAGCGAGGUCAUCUCAUUGCUCUAUCCGCCAAUCAGGAGGCUGAAUGUCAGUUUUGAACUAAAAGCCGCUCCGCUCCUCUUCUAGAUUUGGAAAACAAGCGAAAUUAAACUAAACCGCUGCACGCCUCUGACGCGACAUCUGGACACGGCGCGGCGCUGGCGCUGCCGGAGCUGUCGGCCCGGCCUGGCGCCGGACUAGUGUCCCUUUUGAUGAGAAGAAUAAGCCUCAUUGUGAUUCAACAGCAGAGAUCAAAGAAAAGACUUCUGUUUUCUGGCCACCAGAUAUAUGUUAUCUGUGCUUAAAGAAUUGAAAAACACACAUCAAAGGAGAAUUCUCUUGGAAAGAGAGGGUUCAAGCAUCACUGUUAGGUGUGCUGGAAUCCUUUCCCGAGUCAGUACUGCUUUCUAGAAGAAAACCGGGGAGAUCUAUUUGGAAUGUAUCUAACUCCAAAGGAACCAUCAGAGGUAACAGUAGAGACGGGGUUUCACCAUGUUGGCCAGACUGGUCUUGAACUCCCGACCUCGUGAUUCGCCCGCCUUGGCCUCCCAAAGUGCUGGGAUUACAGGUGUGAGACACCAUGCCCGGCGGAUAGAGAGAAUUUUGACAGUAUCUUACAGACAGCAAGUUGAACAUUGUGGGAUGCAUAAGCUAUUGAGGCCUUUGCAGCUUUCUGCUACAUGGAGGCUACGGCCAGAGUCAACAUUUAUGCUUUGCAGCACACUGGUCAGCUGUUUUUGCAAAUCAGAUUAAAUAAUUUUUAAAUGAGGCUGAGAGCAUGGGAGAUACUAAUGUGUGUUUCCUUGUGAGCUACUGCAUAAGUUAGGAAAUUGAAAUACAGAAAGAUGAAAAGUGAUUUGCCCAAGUAUAUAGAUCAAAACUGUGGCAGA
rnacentral:antisense_RNA from 1 species